AACCUCCGCAAUGUGAGAAAUCGCGACGGGGGGAUCCCAAGUGCCAUUCUUAACGGGAUGGCUUUUCAUUAGUGUAAAGAGCUUUUGGAAUAAGGGCUGGGCAAGACCGGUGCCAGCCGCCGCGGUAACACCGGCAGCUCUAGUGGUAACAAUUUUUAUUGGGCCUAAAGCGUCCGUAGCCGGUUUAAUAAGUCUCUGGUGAAAUCCUGUAGCUUAACUGUGGGAAUUGCUGGAGAUACUAUUAGACUUGAGACCGGGAGAGGUUAGAGGUACUCCCAGGGUAGAGGUGAAAUUCUGUAAUCCUGGGAGGACCGCCUGUUGCGAAGGCGUCUAACUGGAACGGUUCUGACGGUGAGGGACGAAAGUUAGGGGCGCGAACCGGAUUAGAUACCCGGGUAGUCCUAACUGUAAACGAUGCGGACUUGGUGUUGGGGUGGCUUUGAGCUGCUCCAGUGCCGAAGGGAAGCUGUUAAGUCCGCCGCCUGGGAAGUACGGUCGCAAGACUGAAACUUAAAGGAAUU
rnacentral:rRNA from 1 species